ACAACGGCUCUUUUAAGAGCCACACACAUCUGAAGAGCUGACCCU
rfam:Oreochromis niloticus linkage group LG17, whole genome shotgun sequence.